rnacentral:tRNA from 1 species
GUAAGUAUAGCUCAGUGGCAGAGCGCAUGCUUAGCGUGCACGAGGUCUUGGGUUCAAUCCCCAGUACCUCCA